AUGCAGGAAACCAUUCUUUAUACUUGCAUAUGUGAAAGUCAGAGUGGAAGCAGGUGUGAGAGGGUCCCGCAGAAGAAAACAUGGCUGCCAAAGUGUUUUGAGUCCAUGGGCAAGUUUGGCCUGGCCUUAGCUGUUGCAGGAGGCAUGGUAAAUGCUGCCUUAUAUAAUGUGGAUGCUGGGCACAGAGCUGUCAUCUUUGACCAAUUCCGUGGAGUACAUAACGUUGUGGUAGGGGAAGGGACUCACUUUCUCAUCCCAUGGGCACAAAAACCAAUUAUCUUUGACUGCUGCUCUCAACCACAUAAUGCGCCAUUCAUCACUGGUAGCAAAGAUUUACAGAAUGUCAGCAUCACACUGCGCAUCCUCUUCUAGCCCAUCACUAGCCAGCAUCCUCUCAUCUUCACCAGCCUUGGAGAGGACUAUGAUGAGCCUGUGCUGCCGUUCAUUACCACUGAGAUCCUCAAGUCACUGCUGGCUUGCUUUGAUGCUGGAGAACUAAUCACCCAGAGAGAGCUGGUCUCCAGCCAGGUGAGCAACGACCUUAUGGAGUGAGCAACCACCUUUGGGCUCAUCCUGGACAACAUGUCUUUGACAUAUCUGACCUUCGGGAAGGAGUUAAUAGAAGCAGUGGAAGCCAAACAGGUGGCCCAGCAGGAGGCAGAGAGCACCAGAUUUGUGGUGAAGGCUAAGCAGCAGAAAAAGGCGGCCAUCAUCUCUGCUGAGGGUGACUCCAAGGCAGCUGAGCUGAUCACCAACUCACUGGCCACUGCAGGGGACGGCCUGAGCAAGCUGUGCAAGCUGGAAACUGUGGAAGACAUUACAUACCAGCUCUCAUGCUCUUGGAACAUCAUCUGCCUGCCAGUGGGGCGGUCCGUGCUCCUCCAGUUGCCCUAGUGAGGGCCCAGCCUACCUGCACCUCCGUGAGGCAACUGGGCCACAGCCCCGAUGAUUUGUAAUACCACCUUCUGCCCUAACCCCAGAAAUCACUGAAAUUUCAUGAUUGGCUUAAAGUGAAGGAAAUAAAGGUAAAAUCACUUCAGCUCUCUAAAAAACAAAAGAAGAAUUACAUGGGUUAGUACAUGAAAAAAUUAUGGGAAACUACAUGGAAUAUACUGUUACGUUCAAUAAACAUUAGCUUCUAUAUAUAAUAAUA